UAAAGUGCAUCUAACGUAAAU
rnacentral:miRNA from 1 species